rnacentral:rRNA from 1 species
GAAAGGCUUUUUGAAGUCUUCGGAUGGAUAGAAGAACCCCUGAUGCCGUCGAGCCAAGAAAAGUUUCUAAGUUUAGCUAAUGUUGCCCGUACCGUAAACCGACACAGGUGGGUGGGAUGAGUAUUCUAAGGCGCGUGGAAGAACUCUCUUUAAGGAACUCUGCAAAAUAGCACCGUAUCUUCGGUAUAAGGUGUGGUUAGCUUUGUAUUAGGAUUUACUCCGAAAGCAAGGAAACUUACAACAAAGAGUCCCUCCCGACUGUUUACCAAAAACACAGCACUCUGCUAACUCGUAAGAGGAUGUAUAGGGUGUGACGCCUGCCCGGUGCUCGAAGGUUAAUUGAUGGGGUUAGCAUUAGCGAAGCUCUUGAUCGAAGCCCGAGUAAACGGCGGCCGUAACUAUAACGGUCCUAAGGUAGCGAAAUUCCUUGUCGGUUAAAUACCGACCUGCAUGAAUGGCGUAACGAGAUGGGAGCUGUCUCAAAGAGGGAUCCAGUGAAAUUGUAGUGGAGGUGAAAAUUCCUCCUACCCGCGGCAAGACGGAGAGACCCCGUGGACCUUUACUACAGCUUGACACUGCUACUUGGAUAAGAAUGUGCAGGAUAGGUGGGAGGCUUUGAGUAUAUGACGCCAGUUGUAUAUGAGCCAUUGUUGAGAUACCACUCUUUCUUAUUUGGGUAGCUAACCAGCUUGAGUUAUCCUCAAGUGGGACAAUGUCUGGUGGGUAGUUUGACUGGGGCGGUCGCCUCCCAAAUAAUAACGGAGGCUUACAAAGGUUGGCUCAGAACGGUUGGAAAUCGUUCGUAGAGUAUAAAGGUAUAAGCCAGCUUAACUGCAAGACAUACAAGUCAAGCAGAGACGAAAGUCGGUCUUAGUGAUCCGGUGGUUCUGUGUGGAAGGGCCAUCGCUCAAAGGAUAAAAGGUACCCCGGGGAUAACAGGCUGAUCUCCCCCAAGAGCUCACAUCGACGGGGAGGUUUGGCACCUCGAUGUCGGCUCAUCGCAUCCUGGGGCUGGAGCAGGUCCCAAGGGUAUGGCUGUUCGCCAUUUAAAGCGGUACGCGAGCUGGGUUCAGAACGUCGUGAGACAGUUCGGUCCCUAUCUGCCGUGGGCGUAAGAAGAUUGAAGAGAUUUGACCCUAGUACGAGAGGACCGGGUUGAACAAACCACUGGUGUAGCUGUUGUUCUGCCAAGAGCAUCGCAGCGUAGCUAAGUUUGGAAAGGAUAAACGCUGAAAGCAUCUAAGCGUGAAGCCAACUCUAAGAUGAAUCUUCUCUAAGCUCUCUAGAAGACUACUAGUUUGAUAGGCUGGGUGUGUAAUGGAUGAAAGUCCUUUAGCUGACCAGUACUAAUAGAGCGUUUGGCUUAUCUUUAAUAAAGCAU